UGGGGGAUCGGAGUGCUUGCACUUCGCUGACGAGCGGCGGACGGGUGCGUAAUACGUAGGAAUCUGCCUGGUAGUGGGGGAUAGCCCGGAGAAAUCCGGAUUAAUACCGCAUACGCCCUAAGGGGGAAAGGAGGGGACUCUUCGGAGCCUUUCGCUAUCAGAUGAGCCUGCGUCGGAUUAGCUGGUUGGUGGGGUAAAGGCCUACCAAGGCGACGAUCCGUAGCUGGUCUGAGAGGAUGAUCAGCCACACUGGGACUGAGACACGGCCCAGACUCCUACGGGAGGCAGCAGUGGGGAAUAUUGCACAAUGGGCGAAAGCCUGAUGCAGCCAUGCCGCGUGUGUGAAGAAGGCCCUAGGGUUGUAAAGCACUUUCAGCGAGGAGGAAAGGUUAAAGGUUAAUACCCUUUAGCUGUGACGUUACUCGCAGAAGAAGCACCGGCUAACUCCGUGCCAGCAGCCGCGGUAAUACGGAGGGUGCGAGCGUUAAUCGGAAUUACUGGGCGUAAAGCGUGCGUAGGCGGCCUUUUAAGUUGGAUGUGAAAGCCCCGGGCUCAACCCGGGAACUGCAUCCAAAACUGGAAGGCUCGAGUGCGGGAGAGGAGUGUGGAAUUUCCUGUGUAGCGGUGAAAUGCGUAGAUAUAGGAAGGA
rnacentral:rRNA from 1 species